GUGCAUAUGUCUGUGGAGGGUGUUCAGCACCAAGGACAGUUAUGUUUGCCUGUGUGUGUGUGUGCAUAUGUCUGUGGAGGGUGUUCAGCACCAAGGACAGGUACGUUUGCCU
rnacentral:pre_miRNA from 1 species